UACGUAGGGCGCGAGCGUUGUCCGGAAUUAUUGGGCGUAAAGAGCUCGUAGGCGGUUUGUCGCGUCUGCCGUGAAAGUCCGGGGCUCAACUCCGGAUCUGCGGUGGGUACGGGCAGACUAGAGUGAUGUAGGGGAGACUGGAAUUCCUGGUGUAGCGGUGAAAUGCGCAGAUAUCAGGAGGAACACCGAUGGCGAAGACAGGUCUCUGGGCAUUAACUGACGCUGAGGAGCGAAAGCAUGGGGAGCGAACAGG
rnacentral:rRNA from 1 species